rnacentral:lncRNA from 1 species
UUUGUUUUGAUCCACUUUGAAAAACAAAUAUUAAAGUGUCUGAAUCCAUACAUGGAAAGUACUUUCAUAGAUCCAGUGAAUAUGAAACACAAUAGUAAAACUAUGUCUGAAUAUCUGGAUACCUAUUAUAUAAUUUGCAUAUCAAAUCAUGUAGAUAACAUAUAUUUUGUUUUCAUAAUUGUUUUUGUUAUUAUAUUUAUUGUACAAUGUAUAACGUUUAUAUAUUUUUUAUGUAAUGGCUGUUACUGAAUUAUUAUGUUACUUUUUUUUAACGCUGAUUUAUUAUGAUCUUACAAUUAUGAUAUAGGAAAUAUUACAUAGACGAUUCGACAACCGACAAUACUACCUGCCUUAUGAAGAUCUACACCUAACUGCAUCACCUGAGUCGUCCUAUGAAGAUCCACGUCUGACCAGAUUUACUUGCACCAUGUUGAAGAUCUCUUGCAAGCCUUUCCUCAGUCUGCAUAAUUGUUUAAUAAACCGCUUUCUCCGGGACUUGAAACCUGGAUUUCUUGUAAUCUGCAAUAAAUUGCAUAGUCUGGGUUUGAACCCCAGACCUGGGUGUAGAAGCCUUUAAACCUUAACCAAUAGGCUACGAU